GAACGGCAGGCAGCUGUCACUGUUGUUGCAUCCUCACCAGAGACCUUUGACAUGAGAGUGAAAAUUCUAGAGCGAACUAUCUACAAAAAGGCAAUUCCCUCACCAAUCGAUCUUGUGGGGUUUGAAGCUGUGAACUUAACCAUAUCAACCUAACAGGCUGGUGUUACAGAGCACUUCUGGAAGAACAAACCGGCAACAUCGUAAAAUGGAU